UCCCGUUGAUCCUGCGGGAGAUUGCUGCUAUUAGGAUUCGACUAAGCCAUGCAAGUCAGGGCUCUUCGGAGUCCGGCAGAAUGCUCAGUAACACGUCAAUAAUCUGCCCUUGGGUCUAGGAUAACUUCGGGAAACUGAAGCUAAUACUGGAUAGGGAAGAGACAAUGGAACAUUUUCUUUCCAAAAAGUAAUGCCCAAGGAUGAGUUGGCGGCUGAUUAGGUUGUUGGUGGGGUAAAGGCCCACCAAGCCGAAGAUCAGUAGGGGUUUUGAAAGAGAUAGCCUCGAGAAGGGCACUGAGACACUGGCCCUAGCCCUACGGGGUGCAGCAGGCGCGAAACCUUUACAAUGCACGAAAGUGUGAUAAGGGAAUCCUAAGUGCUUUGCUUUUGCAAGGCUUUUUUUAUGGGUAAGAACCAUAAAGAAUAAGUGGUGGGCAAGACUGGUGCCAGCCGCCGCGGUAACACCAGCUCCACGAGUGGGAAUCGUUUAUUUGGCCUAAAGCGUCCGUAGCCGGUUUGAUCAAUCCUUUGUGAAAUCAUUAUGCCUAACAUAAUGGCGUGCAGAGGAGACUGUCAAACUUGGAACCGGGAGGAGUCAGAAGUAUUUCUGGGGGAGCGGUAAAAUGCUAUAAUCCCAGAAAGACUACCUGUGGCGAAGGCGUCUGACUAGAACGGAUUCGACGGUGAGGGACGAAAGCUAGGGGAGCGAUCCGGAUUAGAUACCCGAGUAGUCCUAGCUGUAAACUCUGCGAGCAAGGUGUUGCAUCUUCUUCGGGAAGAUGCAGUGUCGAAGUGAAGGCGAUAAGCUCGCCGCCUGGGAAGUAUGGUCGCAAGACUGAAACUUAAAGGAAUUGGCGGGGGAGCACUACAAGGGGUGCGGCGUGCGGUUUAAUCUAAUUCAACACAGAGAAUCUCACCAGAAGCGACGGCAGGAUGAAAGUCAGUCUGAAGGGCUUACUCAACGAGCCGAGAGGUAGCGCAUGGCCGUCGUCAGCUCGUGCCGUAAGGUGUCCUGUUAAGUCAGGCAACGAGCGAGACCUGCAUUUACAAUUGCUAACAACUAAUUUUUAGGAUUGAGCACAUUGUGAGAACUGCUCUUGAAAAGGAGAGGAAGGUGCAGGCUACGGUAGGUCUGUAUGCUCCGAAUCUUCUGGGCUACACGCGCGCAACAAAGGUAAGGACAAUGGGAUACAACUCCGUAAGGAGAAGUUAAUCCUCAAAACCUUAUCCUAGUCUAGAUUGUGGGUUGUAAUCCACCCACAUGACACUGGAAUCCCUAGUAAUCAGAUUUUAGCAUAGUCUGGUGAAUAUGUCCCUGUUCCUUGCACACACCGCCCGUCAAACCACCCGAGUAGGGUCUAGAUGAGGUCUUAUUUAUAAUAAGCUCGAGUCUAGGCUUUGUGAGGAGGGUUAAGUCGUCACAAGGUA
rnacentral:rRNA from 1 species